CACUAUCGUUAACUGAAUACAUAGGUUAACGAGGCGAACCGGGGGAACUGAAACAUCUAAGUACCCCGAGGAAAAGAAAUCAACCGAGAUUCCCCCAGUAGCGGCGAGCGAACGGGGAGCAGCCCGGAGUCUGAAUCAGCUUGUGUGUUAGUGGAACGGUCUGGAAAGUCCGACGGUACAGGGUGAUAGUCCCGUACACGAAAA
rnacentral:rRNA from 2 species